rnacentral:lncRNA from 1 species
AGAUACGCUAUUUCUUUUUUCUGCUUGUGCAAUGCGAGUCAAUAGAGAAGUAAAGAAAGAAGAAGAGGAUGAUUAUUAUUUUUACAUUAUUCUCUGAGUAAUAAAUUAUUAUAAAUAAUAGUGAGAAUCAAUGUUGUUGUUGUUGGUGGUGGUGGUGGGUGAGAAGGAGCUCUGCUCUGGUCUUCUACACUACUACUUUCAAAGGAAAAGUAUUUGAUAACAUGCAAAGAAAAACAACAAUACUGUCAAAACGCGGGUCAAUUAUUUCCCCAUGAAUCAUCAUUUUAUUCAUUAUACAACAUUUAUAUUAUCAUCAAUGUGAGAAGAAAAUUGUCAAAGAACAGUGUUGUUGUGUUGUCUUGGAGAAGAGAAGAAAACUUGAGUGGGUUAUUAUUUUUGUUCUUCGAAGAAGAAAGAAAUAAUUUAUCCACUAUAGUACACGAUUGGUGGGAUGGAACAAAGGUCCAGUUCAUCACGAAGGAGAAGAAUUUAAAAAAAAACUAUGAUAUUAGGGAUUUUUGUGUAAGAAUGAAUACAUGAUGUGAGAAAAACAACGUCAGAGUGGGGGGGGAAUUGAAAAUAAUGGAGGGUACUGAGAUGGAUUUAAAGAAAUCCAAUAAAAAUUCUAGAAUUGGUGUGAAUUAAAUCCAAUCCUCUCCUAAGGGAUAGAAGAAGAUGAACGAAAAGGAGUAACGGACUCCUACAACUUGUGAUGGAUGUGCAAGUGACUUGGGAGGUGCAUUCAAAGGACAGGGACUGACAAGUCCACUUCAAAAGAAGAAGAUCCUUGUCAUUUAUUCCUCAUCCGAAACUAAAGGGUUUUGGAUCACGACAAGCAAUGAAAAAGAUUGAGUUUUGAAAGACGUGAAUAGAGAAAUAAGAAAAUCAAGAUUUAGAGAGAGAUCCGAAUGGGAGCGGAUGGGGUUUACCAGGAAAGGAAGAUUGUCCAGAGAUCUCAUUAAUGCUCAUUUUCCUCUUCAUUUAGACGACGACCACGAAGAA